CAAACGACUCUCGGCAACGGAUAUCUCGGCUCUCGCAUCGAUGAAGAACGUAGCGAAAUGCGAUACCUGGUGUGAAUUGCAGAAUCCCGCGAACCAUCGAGUCUUUGAACGCAAGUUGCGCCCGAGGCCUUCUGGCCGAGGGCACGCCUGCCUGGGCGUCACGC
rnacentral:rRNA from 2 species